rfam:Mesocricetus auratus contig023747, whole genome shotgun sequence.
CCAAAGGCUCUUUUCAGAGCCACCCACCUCUUCGGAUAAGAGCUGU